GAUGAAGAACGUAGCGAAAUGCGAUACUUGGUGUGAAUUGCAGAAUCCCGUGAACCAUCGAGUCUUUGAACGCAAGUUGCGCCCGAAGCCAUUAGGCCGAGGGCACGCCUGCCUGGGCGUCACACGUCGUUGCCCCCCUCAUCUACUCCUUCGGGAUUGCGGGGGGCGGAUGAUGGCCUCCCGUGCGCCUCGCCGCGCGGUUGGCAUAAAUGCCAAGUCCUCGGCGACGCACGCCACGACAAUCGGUGGUUGCGAAACCUCGGUUGCCCGUCGUGUGCGGUCGUCGCGCAUCGAGGGCUCGAAAAAAUUGCCGAGUUCCGGCUCGGCUUUCAACGCGACCCCAGGUCAGGCGGGGUUACCCGCUGAAUUUAAGCAUAUCAAUAAGCGGAGGA
rnacentral:misc_RNA from 1 species